UUGGGCGUCGGCUAGGAGUGCUCAGAGCGUGGAUUAACUCCAGUCUCCUAUCAGGUGUGUAUUUUCUCGCUACUCUAGCUGUAGGAUGGCUACUUCGGGCCGCGAUGGGCUGAAAGGGGUCAUGUGGGCCUAAUGGGCCUACGGGCCCAAUUGGAUAAGUUUGUUUGAUUGUGUAGUAAAUAUUGGACUAGGCUAGGAGAAUCUCAUAUUUGUGGCUAGAUUUGGGCUAAAAGGGCCACACGAGCGUGUGGGCCCAUUUGGGCCGAAAAUAGGCUUUAGGCCCAUUCGUAUUGUUAUCCCUGUUUAGAAUACUUUAGUUUACCAAAUUACUGAAAUGCCCUCGAUUUGUAAAAUUACUGUUUUACCCUCAAUUUAUAGAAUUACCAUUUUACCCUCGAUUUAUAGAAUUACUAUUUUACCCUCGAUUUAUAAAAUAACCAUUUUACCCUCAGUUUACAAAAUUACUGUUUUACCCUCGAUUGUGAAAUUACUGAAAUACCCCUGUAGGAUAGAAUUACCAAAAUAUCCCUAGUUUGUAAAAUUACCAAAAUACCCCUAGUUUGUAAAAUUACCAAAAUAACCCUAGUUUGUAAAAUUACUGAAAUACCACUGGUUUGUGAAAUUACCGAAAUACCCUCAAUUUGUAAAAUUACCAAAAUACCCCUAAUUUACAAAAUUACAGAAACACCCUUGACUUUCUAAAAAUUAUAGAAAUACCAUUGGUUUACAAAAUUACUAAAAUACCCUUGGUUUGUAAAUUUACCAAAACACCCUUGUAGGAUGAAAUGACUAAAAUACCCCUAAUAGGUAAAAAGACCGUAAAGCCCCUGUAGGGUAAAGUGACCGUAAUACCCUUGUAUGGUAAAAUGACGAAUAUGCCCUUAUGUUCCGUAUGACUGAUGUGCUUAGGACUUACAUAUAUUGAUAUUGGGUUAGUUAAGUUUGAGUGAUAGGUGGUGGUUAUCGUAGGUGAUUGAUUUUGGAAACGUUUCAACUUCAACCCAUAACAUGUGUGUAAUAACCCUCGCAGUAGCUUAGAUUAAUAUUCGCCGAAAAGCUAAAAUGCUAAAAUUUUAGCAUUUCAGGAACUUGUGAUUUUGCCUUUUCUUAAAGAUGCGAUAGAUACAAUAUGAUCUGUGUUUGGAUCGAUGGAGCAGGUAAGAGCGCAAUUUUGUGCACGAUGGUAAGUUGGGCCUCAAUGGGCUGGAAUCGGGACCAAUGGGCUUUCGGGCCCAUUUGGGUAAAACUGAUAGAAAAUGGAAUCUGGAAAAGUUGCAUGUUAACACGGUUAGUACUGUUGUAAAAUUUGGAUUAAGCGGGCUUAGUGGGUUAAAUCAGCAUUCGUAGGGCCCAUUAGAUGUUUUGGGCCCAAAAGCCCGAAUUUGAUAAAGUGGGUUAAAGAUCAAUGUUUAAACACUUGAAAAUAUUGAUAACUGUUAAUGAACAUGGAAAACCCUAAUAUUUGGUAAAAUUACGAAGUUACCCUUAUAAUAUGAAAAAUGACUCUUUUGCCCUUGUGGGCAAGUGACUGACUUGGACUGUGUGGUCGAUUGAUUUGAUUGUGAAUAUAUGUUGGUGAUAUGAAUGACUUGACUGUGAUUGUUUGAUUCAAAUAUGGGCAUGACAUUCUGCAUACAUAACAUGUUGCAUGGGUUGGGUUUUAUAAAUGGAGGAAGUGCUAAAAGGGCUAUGCCUCAGUUUACCGAAAAGGGUUUUGCCCCAGUUUACCGAAAAGGGCUUUGUCCCAGUUUAUGAAAAAGGGCUUUGCCCCAGUUAUUAAAAGAGGCUAGCCCUCUAGUUAUAUGAAAAAGUAGCUAUACUGCCAGUGGAGAGUUUGAUUGGAUGGGUUGAGUUAUUCCCCACAUGGAGAGCUUGGUUGGUACGGGUGGAGAGUAGCAGAUGGUGGGUUGAGUAGUCUCCCCAAAUGGGCUUGCAUACAUUCAUUGGUAUUUCAUGUGAUAUUGAAAUGGGCUUGCAUACAUUCAUUGAUAUUUCAUGUGUUAUUGAAAUGGGCCUAUGGGCCAUACCGUUUACAAUAAAGGCUUCGGCCCAGUGAUAUGAUUUAUGAAAAGGCUUCGGCCCAGUAUAUGUCGAGACUGAAUUAGGGCUUAGGCCCAUACUGCUACUGUUUAAGUGCUAAGGCCCAGACUAUACUGUUACUGAAUAGGGCUUUGGCCCAGAUUGUACUGACACUAUGUCAUUCACUGUUUAUUUGUUGUUGGGGAUUACACACUGAGUUUUCGUAAACUCACCCCGUUUCUAACUGUGCAGGUAAUCCCUAAGCUUAGAUGGUUUGGAGCUGCGAGGGACUCGGAGAUGGCCACACUACUGUUUCUGUUUCUUUUAAUUACAAUAAGUAGCCGAUUUAUUUCUUUAUAAGUUUUAUCUUAUUAAUAUUAUUAUUUGGUUUUGGGUUGUAAUAAGGCCAUUUUAAUUAUUUUUCUGGGAUUAUUUUAUC
rnacentral:lncRNA from 1 species